rnacentral:rRNA from 1 species
AUUGAACGCUGGCGGCAGGCCUAACACAUGCAAGUCGAGCGGAUGAGGGGAGCUUGCUCCUUGAUUCAGCGGCGGACGGGUGAGUAAUGCCUAGGAAUCUGCCUGGUAGUGGGGGAUAACGUUCCGAAAGGAACGCUAAUACCGCAUACGUCCUACGGGAGAAAGCAGGGGACCUUCGGGCCUUGCGCUAUCAGAUGAGCCUAGGUCGGAUUAGCUAGUUGGUGAGGUAAUGGCUCAUCAAGGCGACGAUCCGUAACUGGUCUGAGAGGAUGAUCAGUCAAACUGGAACUGGGACACGGUCCAGACUCCUACGGGAGGCAGCAGUGGGGAAUAUUGGACAAUGGGCGAAAGCCUGAUCCAGCCAUGCCGCGUGUGUGAAGAAGGUCUUCGGAUUGUAAAGCACUUUAAGUUGGGAGGAAGGGCAGUAAGUUAAUACCUUGCUGUUUUGACGUUACCAACAGAAUAAGCACCGGCUAACUUCGUGCCAGCAGCCGCCGUAACAC